rnacentral:misc_RNA from 1 species
GUAGGUGAACCUGCGGAAGGAUCAUUAGUAAUAAUUAAUAAUAGGAUUUGUGGUUUCGUGCUGCAUCUCUUUUUUUUUUAUAUCCAGCGCGAGGUUUUAUAAUCUACAACCCUUUUUUUUUUUCUCUCUACAACCCAACCCAAAACACCAAAAACAACAGAAAAAGAAUCAAAAUAGACUAACAAAGGGUUAUAACAAAACAAAAAAACAACUCUAGGCAAUGGAUAUCUUGGUUCCC